CACGUAGGCGGACUAUUAAGUCGAGGGUGAAAUCCCGGGGCUCAACCCCGGAACUGCCUUCGAUACUGGUAGUCUUGAGUUCGAGAGAGGUGAGUGGAAUUCCGAGUGUAGAGGUGAAAUUCGUAGAUAUUCGGAGGAACACCAGUGGCGAGGGCGGCUCACUGGCUCGAUACUGACGCUGAGGUGCGAAAGUGUGGGGAGCAAACA
rnacentral:rRNA from 1 species